rnacentral:rRNA from 1 species
UAGUAUUAGGUUGUUGGUAAUUAUAAAAGAUUACCAAGCCUAUGAUGCUUAGUUGGUCUGAGAGGACGAUCAAUCACACUGGAACUGAGACAAGGUCCUGACUUGAUAUAAGGCUGCAGUGAGGAAUAUUGGACAAUGAGAGAAAUCUUGAUCCAGCAAUAUCGCAAGGGUGAUGAAGGCUG